UACGGAGGGUGCAAGCGUUAUCCGGAUUUACUGGGUUUAAAGGGUGCGUAGGCGGACAGGUAAGUCUGUGGUGAAAUCUCUGGGCUUAACCCAGAAACUGCCGUUGAUACUAUUUGUCUUGAAUAUCCUGGAGGUAGGCGGAAUAUGUCAUGUAGCGGUGAAAUGCUUAGAUAUGACAUAGAACACCGAUAGCGAAGGCAGCUUACUACAGGAUGAUUGACGCUGAGGCACGAAAGCGUGGGGAGCAAACAGG
rnacentral:rRNA from 1 species